AAUCAACGCUGGCGGCGUGCCUAACACAUGCAAGUCGAACGAGAAAGAGGGGGCAACCCCUUGAGUAAAGUGGCGACCGGGUGAGUAACACGUGACUAACCUACCCUAGAGUGGGGGAUAACCUUCCGAAAGGAGGGCUAAUACCGCAUAAACUCGCGAGGUGAGAUUCCUUGUGAGCAAAGGAGCAAUUCGCUCAUGGAGGGGGUCGCGGCUGAUUAGCUAGUUGGUGAGGUAACGGCUCACCAAGGCGAUGAUCAGUAUCCGGCCUGAGAGGGCGCACGGACACACUGGAACUGAAACACGGUCCAGACUCCUACGGGAGGCAGCAGUGGGGAAUUUUGCGCAAUGGGGGAAACCCUGACGCAGCAACGCCGCGUGGAGGAUGAAGGUCUUUGGAUUGUAAACUCCUUUCGAUCGGGACGAUUAUGACGGUACCGGAAGAAGAAGCACCGGCUAACUCUG
rnacentral:rRNA from 1 species